ACAAUAUACAAGGUGCUGCAUGGUUGUCGUCAGCUCGUGUCGUGAGAUGUUGGGUUAAGUCCCGUAACGAGCGCAACCCUUGUCCUUAGUUACCAGCACGUUAUGGUGGGCACUCUAAGGAGACUGCCGGUGACAAACCGGAGGAAGGUGGGGAUGACGUCAAGUCAUCAUGGCCCUUACGGCCUGGGCUACACACGUGCUACAAUGGUCGGUACAAAGGGUUGCCAAGCCGCGAGGUGGAGCUAAUCCCAUAAAACCGAUCGUAGUCCGGAUCGCAGUCUGCAACUCGACUGCGUGAAGUCGGAAUCGCUAGUAAUCGUGAAUCAGAAUGUCACGGUGAAUACGUUCCCGGGCCUU
rnacentral:rRNA from 1 species